AUGCACGCUGGCGGCGUGCCUCAUCCCUGCAAGUCGAGCGCACAGACGAGGAGCUUGCUCCUCUGACGUUAGCGGCGGACGGGUGAGUAACACGUGGAUAACCUACCUAUAAGACUGGGAUAACUUCGGGAAACCGGAGCUAAUACCGGAUAAUAUAUUGAACCGCAUGGUUCAAUAGUGAAAGACGGUUUUGCUGUCACUUAUAGAUGGAUCCGCGCCGCAUUAGCUAGUUGGUAAGGUAACGGCUUACCAAGGCGACGAUGCGUAGCCGACCUGAGAGGGUGAUCGCCCACACUGGAACUGAGACACGGUCCAGACUCCUACGGGAGGCAGCAGUAGGGAAUCUUCCGCAAUGGGCGAAAGCCUGACGGAGCAACGCCGCGUGAGUGAUGAAGGUCUUCGGAUCGUAAAACUCUGUUAUUAGGGAAGAACAAAUGUGUAAGUAACUAUGCACGUCUUGACGGUACCUAAUCAGAAAGCCACGGCUAACUACGUG
rnacentral:rRNA from 1 species